CCCUUAGAUGUUCUGGGCCGCACGCGCGCUACACUGAUGCAUUCAACGAGUUUAUAACCUUGGCUGAUAGGCUUGGGUAAUCUUUUAAACGUGCAUCGUGAUGGGGAUAGAUUGUUGCAAUUAUCAAUCUUGAACGAGGAAUUCCUAGUAAACGUGUGUCAUCAGCGCACAUUGAUUACGUCCCUGCCCUUUGUACACACCGCCCGUCGCACCUACCGAUUGAAUGGUUCAGUGAGUUGUAGGGACCGUGGCUGAGUCACCUUUAUUGGAGACACUGCUGUGGGAACUACUGCAAACUUCAUCAUUUAGAGGAAGGUGAANUCGUANCA
rnacentral:rRNA from 1 species